rnacentral:rRNA from 1 species
GACGAACCGAGCGAACGUUGUUCGGAAUUACUGGGCGUAAAGGGCGCGUAGGCGGCCUGUUAAGUCGAACGUGAAAUCCCCGGGCUCAACCCGGGAACUGCGUCCGAUACUGGCAGGCUUGAAUCCGGGAGAGGGAUGCGGAAUUCCAGGUGUAGCGGUGAAAUGCGUAGAUAUCUGGAGGAACACCGGUGGCGAAGGCGGCAUCCUGGACCGGUAUUGACGCUGAGGCGCGAAAGCCAGGGGAGCAAACGGG